UACCUGGUUGAUCCUGCCAGUAGUCAUAUGCUUGUCUCAAAGAUUAAGCCAUGCAGGUCUAAGUCCAUGCUGUAUUUAAGGUGAAACCGCGAAUGGCUCAUUAUAUCAGUUAUGGUUCCUUAGAUCCUCGGUUACACUUGGAUAACCCUGGUAAUUCUAGAGCUAAUACAUGCAUCCAAACACCAAACCCUCGGGGAAGGUGUGUUUUUAUCAGCCCAAAACCAAUCGUUGCCUUUUUGGUGACGUUCCGAUGGUGAUUCAGAGUAACUUGGUUCGGAUCGCACGGCCUUCGUGCUGGCGACAUAUCUUUCAAAUGUCUGCCUUAUCAACUUGUUGGUUGGUUAAAUGCCAACCAAGGUGGUAACGGGUGACGGAGAAUCAGGGUUCGAUACCGGAGAGGGAGCCUGAGAAACGGCUACCACAUCCAAGGAAGGCAGCAGGCACGCAAAUUACCCACUCCCGGCUCGGGGAGGUAGUGACGAAAAAUAACAAUACGAGACUCAUCCGAGGCUUCGUAAUUGGAAUGGGAACAAUUUAAAUCCUUUAACGAGGAUCUAUUGGAGGGCAAGUCUGGUGCCAGCAGCCGCGGUAAUUCCAGCUCCAAUAGCGUAUAUUAAAGUUGCUGCGGUUAAAAAGCUCGUAGUUGGAUCUCAGUCUCGGUCGGACGGUCCAUUUCACGAUGGCACUGUUCGAAUCGGACAUUUGGCCGCCUUUCUCAGUAUGCUCUUCACUGAGUGUAUUGGGAGAGUGGCACGUUUACUUUGAAAAAAUUAGAGUGCUCAAAGCAGGCAUUUGCCUGAAUCUUCGUGCAUGGAAUGAUGGAAUAGGGCCUCGAUCCUGUUUUGUUGGUUCAAGGGAUUUGAGGUAAUGAUUAAGAGGGACGGACGGGGGCAUUCGUAUUGCGACGUUAGAGGUGAAAUUCUUAGAUCGUCGCAAGACGAACUACUGCGAAAGCAUUUGCCAAGAAUGUUUUCAUUAAUCAAGAACGAAAGUCAGAGGUUCGAAGGCGAUCAGAUACCGCCCUAGUUCUGACCAUAAACGAUGCAAACUGGCGAUCCGUCAGCGUUAAUACCAAUGACUUGACGGGCAGCUUUCCGGAAACGAAAGUGUUCGUGUUCCGGGGGAAGUAUAGUUGCAAAAAUGAAACUUAAAGGAAUUGACGGAAGGGCACCACCAGGAGUGGAGCCUGUGGCUUAAUUUGACUCAACACGGGAAAUCUCACCAGGCCCGGACACUGGAAGGAUUGACAGAUUGAUAGCUCUUUCUUGAUUCAGUGGGUGGUGGUGCAUGGCCGUUCUUAGUUGGUGGAGUGAUUUGUCUGGUUAAUUCCGAUAACGAACGAGACCCCCUCCUACUUACUAGACUGUGGAUGAUUCAUGCAUCCUCAGAAUCUUCUUAGAGGGACAACUGGCGUUGAUCCAGCUACAUGAAAUGGGGCAAUAACAGGUCUGUGAUGCCCUUAGAUGUUCUGGGCUGCACACGCGCUACACUGAAGGGAUCAUCGUGUUUAACCUAGCCUGAGAAAGCCGGGAAACCCGUUGAAUUCUCUUCGUGCUAGGGAUUGAGGCUUGCAAUUUUUUCUCAUGAACGAGGAAUUCCCAGUAAGUGCGAGUCAUAAGCUCGCGCUGAUUACGUCCCUGCCCUUUGUACACACCGCCCGUCGCUACUACCGAUUGGAUGAUUUAGUGAGGCCUUCGGACUGGGCGAUAGUGGGACACUUGUGCCCUGCUGUCGACCCGGGAAGAUGUUCAAACUGUAUCAUCUAGAGGAAGUAAAAGUCGUAACAAGGUUUCCGUAGGUGAACCUGCGGAAGGAUCA
rnacentral:rRNA from 1 species